UCUUUGUCUUCUAAUCAUAAAGGAAAAUAGAAAAUAGCAGGAGAAGAAAGAGGAGACGAGAGGGAGAGUGGAAAGGAGCAAAACCGAGAAGAGAUGGAGAAAAAAGAGGGUUCGAAUGAGCAAAACCGCCAGACAAGGGUUUCAAUCUCUCUCGAUAUUGCAUUCUCUACCCAAUUUUUUCUUUGAAUUCGAAGAUUUGUAUUCCGACUUCGAUUAAUUAGAUGUUUUGUUGUUUUUGUGAAGUGAAGAUGAUCAGAGGAGGCUUUCAAAACAGAGCUUGCUGUGCAUCUGCUAGUGCUGUUGGAGAUCUAUUCCUGCUAGUUGCUGCUGCUGAUUUUUGCUGCUGCAAAGCUAUUUUAGGUACUGAUUUUUGCUGCUGGUUUUUUUCUUGGCUUUGGUUGGUUGCUCACCAACUCUUGAUGGCGUGCUAGCAAAGGAUUGGACGAGCAUAUUGGUGCUAACCUAAUUGGGAUUGAUUUGAUUUCAACUUCCACCGGCCACUUUUGGAUAAUGAGCUCACGGAGAUUGAAGGACUGAUCAAUAGCUGGAUUGAGGACUCUACACUUCUGCAAACUAAAGUGAUGCCUCUAACUGAUGAUAAAAAAGCUGGGGCUAUUGCAAUGUUCGGAGAAAAAUAUGGAGAACAGGUUCAGGUACGUGUUGUAGAGGUUCUGGGUGUAUCCAUGGAACUAUGUGGUGGCACUCAUGUCAGUAGUACUUCUGAAAUACGUGGCUUGAAAAUAAUCUCAGAACAGGGGAUUGCGUCUGGAAUCAAACGUAUAGAAGCCGUUACUGGUGAUGCUUUUAUCGAAUUCUAGAGAUAACUACAUGAAACAGCUCUGCUCCACUUUCAAACUGAAGAUGUACCAGCCAGGGUAGAAACACUAUUGGAGGAAUUGCGAAUGGCAAGAAAUGAAAUUUCAGCUAUUUAUGCUAAAGCAGCAGUUCACAGAGCCUCAAUCAUCGCAAACAAUGUAUUGCUUGUGGGAAAUUCUAAAAAUAUCAGAGCUUGCUGAAGAGGCAAAUAGGCUUGUGAACUAAGUGGAAACUCUUGGUGAAAUAGCUAAACAACUGGGUAAAAAAGGCUGGAAUUUCAAUUUGAAACAUUGUGACAAAAACUUGAACUGGCAAACACCAAUAGUGGACUCCUCCCUUAUGUAUGACUGUACUGUCAAUUGCACCUGCCUUUCUGAUGAUGAGUGUCACAUCAGUGCCAUAAUUUUGCUGGGCUGCUGCUGCUGCAAUGUUGCUGUGAAGCGGGCUGCUUCUAGAUGCUGGUCUGCUGCAAAUUUGGGUUGUUAGUUUCAUAUUUUCAUUUUGUUAUCUGCUGUUUUUACUAUGGGUUCACAAUUUGGAUGUAUUUGAGUAUUUUAGUGAGUUUACCCUUUCAAGUUUUAUACACCGCUUCCAAAAGCAUAUUUUUCAGCAGUGUUUUUUUGCCUACACAUCAACUUUAGGUGAUUUAAUAUCAAUGUUAUUUGUUUGCAAUAGUAGUGCCUGAGGGAUGCCUCUUGUAAAUGUGUAAAUCUUAUGAAAAAAUAUAAAUGAUUUUCAAUUUU